CGGUAAUACGUAGGUGGCAAGCGUUGUCCGGAAUUAUUGGGCGUAAAGCGCGCGCAGGCGGCCUUUUAAGUCUGAUGUGAAAGCCCCCGGCUCAACCGGGGAGGGCCAUUGGAAACUGGAAGGCUUGAGUACAGAAGAGAAGAGUGGAAUUCCACGUGUAGCGGUGAAAUGCGUAGAGAUGUGGAGGAACACCAGUGGCGAAGGCGACUCUUUGGUCUGUAACUGACGCUGAGGCGCGAAAGCGUGGGGAGCAAACAGGAUUA
rnacentral:rRNA from 1 species